rnacentral:rRNA from 2 species
AGUGGGGAAUUUUCCGCAAUGGGCGAAAGCCUGACGGAGCAAUACCGCGUGAGGGAGGAAGGCUCUUGGGUUGUAAACCUCUUUUCUCAGGGAAGAAUAAAUGACGGUACCUGAGGAAUAAGCAUCGGCUAACUCCGUGCCAGCAGCCGCGGUAAUACGGAGGAUGCAAGCGUUAUCCGGAAUGAUUGGGCGUAAAGCGUCCGCAGGUGGUUUUGUGUGUCUGCUGUUAAAGCGUGCGGCUUAACCGCAUAAGGGCGGUGGAAACUACAAGACUAGAGUACGUUCGGGGCAGAGGGAAUUCCCAGUGUAGCGGUGAAAUGCGUAGAGAUUGGGAAGAACAUCGGUGGCGAAAGCGCUCUGCUAGGCCUGUACUGACACUGAGGGACGAAAGCUAGGGGAGCGAAUGGGAUUAGAUACCCCAGUAGUCCUAGCCGUAAACGAUGGAUACUAGGCGUUGUCUGUAUCGACCCGGACAGUGCCGUAGCUAACGCGUUAAGUAUCCCGCCUGGGGAGUACGCAGGCAACUGUGAAACUCAAAGGAAUUGACGGGGGCCCGCACAAGCGGUGGAGUAUGUGGUUUAAUUCGAUGCAACGCGAAGAACCUUACCAAGACUUGACAUGUCGCGAAUUUCUGGGAAACUAGAAAGUGCCUUCGGGAGCGCGAACACAGGUGGUGCAUGGCUGUCGUCAGCUCGUGUCGUGAGAUGUUGGGUUAAGUCCCGCAACGAGCGCAACCCUCGUAUUUAGUUGCCAGCAUUAAGUUGGGCACUCUAGAGAGACUGCCGGUGACAAACCGGAGGAAGGUGGGGAUGACGUCAAGUCAGCAUGCCCCUUACGUCUUGGGCUACACACGUACUACAAUGCUACGAACAAAGGGCAGCUACACAGCGAUGUGAUGCAAAUCUCAUAAAUCGUGGCUCAGUUCAGAUCGCAGGCUGCAACUCGCCUGCGUGAAGUCGGAAUCGCUAGUAAUUGCAGGUCAGCAUACUGCAGUGAAUUCGUUCCCGGGCCUUGUACACACCGCCCGUCACACCAUGGAAGCUGGUUACGCCCGAAGUCGUUACCCUAACCGCUUGCGGAGGGGGAUGCCGAAGGUAGAACUGGUGACUGGGGUGAAGUCGUAACAAGGUAGCCGUACCGGAAGGUGUGGCUGGAUCACCUCCU